rnacentral:rRNA from 1 species
UACAGAGGGUGCAAGCGUUAAUCGGAAUUACUGGGCGUAAAGCGUGCGUAGACGGUUAUGUAAGUCGGGUGUGAAAGCCCCGGGCUCAACCUGGGAAUUGCGAUGGAGACUGCAAGGCUUGAAUCUGGCAGAGGGGGGUAGAAUUCCACGUGUAGCAGUGAAGUGCGUAGAGAUGUGGAGGAACACCAGUGGCGAAGGCGGCUCACUGGACCGGUACUGACGCUGAGUGCGCGAACGUGGGGGAGCAAACGGG